rnacentral:rRNA from 1 species
UACGAGUGCCCCAAGCGUUAUCCGGAAUCAUUGGGCGUAAAGGGUGUGUAGGUGGCGAUGUUAGUCUUCUGUUAAAUCUCCCGGCUUAACCGGGAAACUGCGGAGGAAACGGCAUUGCUUGAAGAUGCGAGGGGUGAAUGGAACUCAUGGAGUAGGGGUGAAAUCCGUUGAUAUCAUGGGGAACACCAAAAGCGAAGGCAAUUCACUGGCGCAUUCUUGACACUGAAACACGAAAGCGUGGGUAGCGAACGGG